rnacentral:rRNA from 1 species
UCGGGAAUAUUGCGCAAUGGAGGAAACUCUGACGCAGUGACGCCGCGUGCAGGAAGAAGGUUUUCGGAUUGUAAACUGCUUUAGACAGGGAAGAAACAAGACAGUACCUGUAGAAUAAGCUCCGGCUAACUACGUGCCAGCAGCCGCGGUAAUACGUAGGGAGCAAGCGUUAUCCGGAUUUAUUGGGUGUAAAGGGUGCGUAGACGGGAAUGCAAGUUGGUUGUGAAAUCCCUCGCUCAACCGAGGAAUUGCAACCAAAACUAUAUUUCUUGAGUGCUGGAGAGGAAAGUGGAAUUCCUAGUGUAGCGGUGAAAUGCGUAGAUAUUAGGAGGAACACCAGUGGCGAAGGCGACUUUCUGGACAGUAACUGACGUUGAAGCACGAAAGUGUGGGGAGCAAACAGGAUUAGAUACC